rnacentral:lncRNA from 10 species
AAACUUAGAACCAAAUAUGCAGUCCUCUUCUAGCAACUGUAUGAGAGCAGGUGAGUGUGGAUAGCCAGAAUACAACCAGAGAUCCUAUCUCCCAAAGCCCAGUUCAUAGUCUUCUGCUGCUGCAAAACCAUCUCCUGGCCCAACAAAGCCUGCAAAAAGGGGAAUGAAUCUGUGAAGCCAUAAAGAGAGAAAGCAAAGAUUUUCACGGUGAGAAACGAGAAAUGAUGAGGAGAAGAGGCAACCUGUGGAGCCGAGACUUAAAGAGGGAAUAUGUUUCUGGAGUCAGCUGCAGCCGAGGUGUCUAAAAAUGAAAGAAGAAGGGGCACUCGGUGAGUGGACAACACAAAUGGAAAAGGAGUGGAGUUUGGAAAACAAUCUUCCAGUUCCACCGGAGGGAAGGCCCAGAUGAAGUUAUCCAGAGGAAUUUUUGCGUGGUGGUCAGGUGCAGGAUUCUAAAAUGAGCAUAGAAACUGGAAUCAUGUUGUGGGUUUGUGUGUGUGUGUGUGUGUGUGUGUGUGUGUGUUUGUUUGUUUGUUUUUUGAGAUGGAGUCUUGCUCUUGUCGCCCAGGCUGGAAUGCAGUGGCACGAUCUCGGCUCACUGCAACCUCCACUUCCCAGGUUCAAGAGAUUCUCUUGCCUCAGCCUCUCGACUGCAGGCGCCCGCCACCAUGCCCAGCCCAUGUUGUUUUGUGUGCCUGACAGCAGUGUUCACAAAGGAUGGGAUAACCACUCAGAACUCAAGAUUUCUCCUGCAUCUUUACAAAAUAAUAAAAGCCAAAACCAGGAGGCGUAGGAGAAAAGACAACAAUAAUUAACCAGUGUGCCCUUUCAAAUCAUUAAUUGACUAACUUGACUAUAAUAUAUAACAGAACACCAUAAUCCAUUACAUAUCAUGUAGUAAAGGAAUAUUCAAAGAUUUGUGAAAUGCUUCUAAUGCAGUUUGAGUGACAAAGCAAGUCACAAAGCAGAAUAUGAAGUAUGAUUCCUAAUUUUGCUUUUAAAAUGCACCUACAUACAAACAUGAUAAAGAAAUAAAUACACGUACAUUCCACAAUGGUUGCAUUGGGAUGAGACAGUUAUAGGUGAUCUUUAACUUUCCUUUACAUUUUUCUAAAUUAUAUAUCCUGCACCUUUUCUAAGCACAGAAAAAGAAAUUAACAUGUAAUUUUACAUUUCUAAUAUUUGUACAGGAAAGCCUCUCCAGUGAGCAUUUCUGUGUGAAGGGACCCCAAUAAUCCCAUGCAUACCCAUCCCCCAGCCUCAUCCAGGGUGGAGCUCAGGCCCCACCUGCAGUAUUAUAUCUUCAUUCCCAUUGUUCUUGAAAAAUUAAGUCUCCUCAAGGGUUCUUAAAGCUUCUGUGGAGUUUUCAAAGGUUGAAAUUAUGCCUUAGUCCAUAGUUCCAUACCCCAACAUCAAUAACCGUGUCUGACACAAAAUAACUGUUCAAUAAAUGUUCAAGGAUUGGAUAAACAACCAACCCCAAAUUCCCCAAGUGAGAUUAUCACAUUUAUUGCUUAGCCCCUCCUGUGUUAAUAAGAUCAAGAGAAAUGUCAUAGCAGCAAUACACAGUGCCGCUUUAUUUCACUUCCUGUUUUUUGGGAGGUGCACUCGAUCCCUGCAUCGUGUGAAUCAUCACAUCCACACCUACCCCAUAUCACUGAGCAAAGACAUGAUCGCCAAGUUAAAAAGUGCCAUGUCAUGGAACCCCUAGUGAACCUGGACUGAUUCAAGGGUGAAACCAUGUUGAUUCUCUUGACCACUUGUACAAUCUCAUCCUCAGCCUUACGCUGGGCAUGUGGGUCUGAUCAAGGUUCUUGGCCCUGGGCAUGUCUCCCCCGGGCACCAUGCUUUACAUAAAGUAGCAAUUCAGAAUCUCCAUCAGGAUCACCAGGAAGCCAAGCCAUCCAGUCUAAUGAACGCUGACAAAGGGCCAGGCCCUGGGAAGACAAAGAGGAAUGCUUACUGCCACAUAGCUCUGCCAACCACUGGACAUGUGACGGAAGGACACUGGCAGGAUGCCCAACAGCUGCUACUGGGUGAGCUGAUAUGAGUGAACCAAGAAAAGCAUGGUCAAGCAGAGCCCACCAACUGAUGUUACCACUGAAAAUCCCCACACCCUCAGGCCCACUAAUGCUAUUCCAAGAAAUUUAUUCUACAGAAACACUUCCACAUGUG